CGGGCGCAGACAUUAAGUGUUUCUCCGUGUUGCUUUCUCUAUGUAGUUAGAAACCAAAUUAAGUCGUCAGUCCUUCAGCUUGAACAUAAGGACAUAUAUUAAUUUUCGAAAUAUGAAGGAGAAAUCAUCACCGGAAGAGCCGAUGCAAGAACAUCUCGAAACCUCCACGGCGUUUUUUACACGUCCGCUAUAAAAGUACCAUGGGGAAUUCAACUGAAAUACUGUUUUUUCUACAAGGACUGAAUGAGACAGUGUCAAGCAAGCGCACAUACUUUAUCCUCAUUCUUCUUGUUUACAUUUUUACUGUUUUAGCGAACCUGACUGUGAUUGGGACAGUUGUUUUGGAUAAAACGCUCCAUGAGCCCAUGCUUGUAUUCCUGUGCAACUUGUGUAUAAAUGGUAUACUUGGUGCCUCCAUAUUAUAUCCUAAAAUAUUGGUGGACCUUUUAUCUGACUUAAGUGUUACUUCGUAUAAAGCGUGUCUGGGUCAAAUUUUUCUAAUAUACAGCUACGCGUACUGCGAAUGGGGUACGUUAGCAGUGAUGGCUUACGACAGGUAUAUCGCGAUAUGCAAGCCGCUCAAUUACCACUCAAUCAUCACGCCUCAGACGGUGAUUAAAUUACUGUUAUUAACCUGGCUUUCAUCCAUCUGUGAAUCAGUUGUUGUGGUGGGCAUGAUAGCCAGACUUCCCCUCUGUGGAUUCAACAUCGAUAAGCUUUACUGCACUGCCUGGGACGUGGUAAAGCUGUCGUGUGUGGACACCUCUAUCAACAACAUAUUCGGGUACAUUCUCAUGGUUGUUCAACUUUCGCUAGUAGUGCUGGUUGUGAUUUCCUAUAUUUAUAUCAUCAGAGCAUGUGUGCGAUCGCCGAAAGAACGAAGUAAGUUCAUGCAGACCUGUUUGCCCCAUUCAAUCGCUCUGUCCAAUUUCUUAAUCGCACACGGUUUUGACAUCAUGUAUGCUCGCUAUGGUCCCACCGACCGUCUGCAUGCUCUCCGCAAUGUCAUGUCCCUGGACUACCUCAUUGUUCCACCCAUCCUAAAUCCCCUAGUUUAUGGUCUGAAACUGAACCAAAUCCGCCGGAGGAUCUUUAGAAUGAUAAGUCAGAAAACACAUGCUCUAAAGUGAAUGUUUGUACUUUGUUCAGGCAGGAAAAUCAAUAUCCGCCUACAGAUGUUUUCAUAAAAUGACAACAAUACAAUAAUUAUUCUAAACAGCAGAACUAAAUGAUUCAAAGAUGCCACACAGUUUUAGAUAUUACCGGAAGUAAUAUUAGCCUAUCUUGUUCUAGUGGCCUGCUUUGGUUUACAUUAUGUUUUUUUAGUUUCACGCAAAACUUUGCGGGGUAUGGGUUGCGAUGCCUGAUGUAUGAAAACAUGGCCCUUAUAGUACAUUCAGAGCGGGAAAACCCAGACAGAUGCAAACUGGAAUGAGUCACUUUUUUAUCCUGUGUUGAGAUUGCUAUUCAUAUUCAAGAGAGUAAAAAAUGUUGAUUACAUUUUAGGUUACAGUGAUAAAAAUAAUUAUUAAUGUUCCUGUGUUUUUCCAAAAUGAGUCUUUCUCUUAGAUAUUUACAAAAAUAUCAUAAGGCAAUAAAUAUAUAGAACAGUGUUUUAAUGAGGUCUGUUGUUAUUUAACUUUUUGAAUUCUGCUGUUCAGUCGUUGUUGGGGAAACCUAGUCUCUGCUAUCAUUCUUUUCUCUCUAUCCUAUGACGCAUUGUGCAGACAGGUGCAGCCACCUCAAGGCUAGAUGAGGUAAUCAGCGGAAAGUUUAAUUGAAGAUCACAGCGGAGACAAGUUAUUGGUGGACACAUUCUAUGAGCGUGCCCAAUGUGUCAGGAUUCUGAUUGUUGCCUGUGAAAGAUGGAUGUAUCAGACAGUUCAGGACUGCGUCCUGGAAUGCCCUUCAGAAACUCUCCCUGUGUGCAGAUUGGUCAACAAAUGUCACUUAUUGGACCAGCCAUUGCCAUCUCAUCCUUGGGGUUCCUAGACAAAGAAAUGGUAAUGGCAAGCAUAUGUUUUUUUUUUCUGUAGCAUUUAUUUUGUUUCACAUAAGCUUGUACCUCAGUGAGUAAAGCAUUUUUGGUUUGCAGUAGUUUCAGAGACUGGUCAAACUAAUAUUUCGGAUUAUAAAUUCUAAUAAAAAUGAUACUUUAACUACAGUGAACAUAAACUGUCAUGGAUCUGCGUUUUCCCGUCUGUGUUUCCUUGUUGGGCCGCCAGAUGGCGGCACUUCUGUUUUGGUAAAUGGACUGCAUUUAUAUAGCGCUUUUAUCCAAAGUGCUUUACAAUUGAUGCCUCUCCUUUGCCAGAGCAGUUAGGGGUUAGGUGUCUUGCUCAAGGGCACUUCGACACACCCAGGGCGGGGUUUGAACCGGCAACCCUCCGACUGCCAGACAAUCGUUCUUACAUCCUGAGCUAUAUUGCCCCUGUUUUGUGUCCUGUUUAAUUGUAUUAUUGUUUCCAAUUAUCCCAUUAUUGUUUGCUGGGUGUCUCGUUUUCCCUUCCCUCUCUGUGGCCUGAUUGUUCAUUGUGCCCUCCUGUGUCUCGUCUGUGUCUGCCUUUUUAAGUUUCCCGUCUCCUGAACUCACUGCUGGAUCCUUGCUCGUUGUUGGUUUGUUGUUGAUUGGGUCUGGUUGUGCUCGGUCGCGCAUGUUCCUGCCUUGUGUAUUCCUGCCCACAUUCUGGUUCCCUUGUGUUUUUGGAUUUUCUGCUUUUUCCUUGUUCCUGUGUUUUUUUGAAGUUUGUCUGUGUUUUUGAGAGUUGCCCUGCGAGGCCUUUUGUUCCCUUUUGUUCCCUUUUUCUAAAGUAAAGUCUUUUGUUCUGA